UGAGGAACAUGACCUUCGGCGGGGGAUAGCCGGCCCAACGGCCGGGUAAUACCGCGUACGACCUUUCGGGGACAUCCCUGGAUGGUGAAAGCAGCAAUGCGCCGAUGGAGUGCCUCGCGGCCUAUCAGCUAGUUGGUGAGGUAACGGCUCACCAAGGCGACGACGGGUAGCUGGUCUGAGAGAAUGGCCAGCCACAUUGGGACUGAGACACGGCCCAGACUCCUACGGGAGCAG
rnacentral:rRNA from 1 species